rnacentral:lncRNA from 1 species
GGCCUCUUGGGUACGUGGGGUUUCUGCAGUUUAUCAACAACAGCUGAAAAGCAAAGAUAGCUCAAUUCCAAGGAAUGUAUUAGAUCAAGCAGCCACAAGUUCUCAAGUGCCUUCUCUUUAGUAAACCUCUUGCAAAACCAGCAAAGACAGUGCUCUCUGUUCCUCUUGUGAGCACAUCUUGGACAGAGAGAGGGCAUGUGGAUUGAUUCCCAGAUCCCUAGAGCAAAAUAAGCUCUGCUUCUGGGGAUUUAACAGCAGCUGGCUUCACAGAAGGUUUUCCUGCCAUGGAGGUAAGUUGCAGAAAAGCUUCACUUGCUAAAUUGUUGGACCAGAUUAUUCAAUGCACAGGAGCAG